AAAAAAAAGAAAAGUUGCAAUAGCUUGGAUUGAUGAGUGUGCACUGCUGUCAUCAGUGGUUCUUUUUUCUUGUUUUUGUUUUUGUUAGGAUUGGGUUGGCCCUGAUAACAUUGAAGGGUAUGGCGCAGUGCAGGAUCUGGCUGAUUACUUGGCUGGACUAAGAGACCACCAUCUUGCGCUGACUCAGGAGGAAUGUAGUCAGGUCAUUGCUCUGUGGCAGGAACUGGGGGAGUAUGACAAAAAAAAAAACUGUCUACCCAGCUCGACACCAGACCAGCCUGAGCAAGGGACGAUUCCGGGCUACGAAGAAGAUUGUGGCUCCAGGUGUGGAGAGCACCAAAAGGUCUUUCAUCGGGGCUCACAGUCCUGCGCAGUGGCCCGACUGCAACAGAGUGGUUGAGGCGAUCUUUGUCAAGCUUUUUGCCAUCUACCCGAGCACUGUGCGCUGUGAGGGAAAGAAGCUGUCAAGAUACACUGUGGUGAUACGCACGUACAAAAACAUCAGGGAGUGCGUAGUCACAAACGCCAGGCUGAUGAGUGAGACCAUUAUAAAGCUACCUGACGUAAAUGCUGCAACAGUUUCACAGUGGUGAGUAGGAUUUAUAUAAAUAUACAUAUUUUAUGUAGAGCUGAUUUUGUUGACCACUAAUUAUGAGACUUUUUUUUG
rnacentral:lncRNA from 1 species